GUCCCUGUAGCACAAUGAAUAGCGUGUUGGACUUCUAAUCCAAAGGUCGUGGGUUUGAAUCCCACUUGGGAUG
rnacentral:tRNA from 1 species